rnacentral:rRNA from 1 species
UACGGGGGGGGGUAAGCGUUGUUCGGAAUUACUGGGCGUAAAGGGCUCGUAGGCGGCCAACUAAGUCAGACGUGAAAUCCCUCAGCUUAACUGGGGAACUGCGUCUGAUACUGGAUGGCUUGGAUUCGGGAGAGGAAUGCGGAAUUCCAGGUGUAGCGGUGAAAUGCGUAGAUAUCGGAAGGAACAUCAGUGGCGAAAGCGACUUCCUGGACCAAUACUGACGCUCAUGUGCGAAAGCGUGGGGAGCAAACAGG